ACGGGGUUUAAGGGGGUGGAUUUACAGCCUAGGUUGGCAGCACAAAGAAAGGAUUAGACCUUGUGAGUGUGACAGGAAGAAAACAAUAGUCAUGUUAGCUAAGAUGCAGAACGUAUUAUGAAGUUAGCAUGCCAGUGUAGCAAACUCAACUGAACAACUGAUACUAGCUACUAGUAUCUAGUGGAAGUAAGUUACUCGGAAGCUGCCCGGCGAGAGCUACAGAAAAGAGAAAAGCACAGUAUGGCAUCUCAGCUGAUCAUCAUGAACUUCAUGUAGUUACAGUACAUCAACCAAUACAAGAUAAGAGCAGCGCAACCAGCCAGCCAGCAUGCAUCAGCCUAUUUAUAGCCCAGCUGAUUCAAUAGACCUCUCCAGUCCAAGAACCACCAUUAUGGACGACCAGUUCAGAGGCCUUGAGCAAGCAUGUGGAGACCCUCUCACAGCCAUGGUUCUCCGAGAUCAUAAUGAAGGGUUGUUCAGAGGCAUCGUGACUGAUGAGGACUCUGGAGCGGUUCACGGUGUACAGACCCUCUACGCCGAUAAGAACGGGACACUUGUGAGGCUCCACCUAAAGUGGCUCCAUCUGUUUGCGCGGAAGUGGGCUCUGAGAGACGCACACGCACAUAUUCAGGGAGAACUGAACACUUCCAUCCAUUGUAGCCCUUUCCUGCAGUUAAAUGACCUAUUAUUCAUAUUUUUCAUAAUUAAUAAACAUUUUGGACAAUA